rnacentral:rRNA from 1 species
GUGGGGAAUAUUGCGCAAUGGGCGAAAGCCUGACGCAGCGACGCCGCGUGAGGGAUGAAGGUCUUCGGAUCGUAAACCUCUGUCAGAAGGGAAAAAGGUGCAGGGUGCCAAUCAGCCCUGCAUUGAUGGUACCUUCAGAGGAAGCACCGGCUAACUCCGUGCCAGCAGCCGCGGUAAUACGGAGGGUGCAAGCGUUAAUCGGAAUUACUGGGCGUAAAGCGCACGUAGGUUGUCCUGUAAGUCAGGGGUGAAAGCCCGCGGCUCAACUGCGGAACUGCCCUUGAUACUGCAGGACUUGGAUCCGGGAGAGGUCAGCGGAAUUCCAGGUGUAGGAGUGAAAUCCGUAGAUAUCUGGAGGAACAUCAGUGGCGAAGGCGGCUGACUGGACCGGCAUUGACGCUGAGGUGCGAAAGCGUGGGUAGCAAACAGG